GAAUGAGAGGGGCUUCUGAACUGUCAUCUCCUCACUUCUCUUCUGGUUGGUGCUCCCUUCUCCAGCCACUAGCCGAAAGAGUUACCGGCCCAGCUCCAUGGAGCCUUGGAUGGAGCCCCUGAGUCCUUUUGAGGAUGUGGCUGGCACAGAAGUGAGUGAGGGUGGGAGGGUGUGUCUGAGCUGGGACUUUUUUGAGCACUGGUCAUACCCCCCACCUGCUCUGGGUUGAGUCUGGAGCUGUUCUCUCACUUGGCUGUCCCCUUUCUGCAGUUUGUAUGUGUGCAUCAGUCAGGUAUUGGGGUGCUUUCUACCCUGACUUAACUAGCUCCUUCUCCACUCCUCUCAGAUGAGUCAGUCUGACAGUGGGGUGGACCUGAGUGGGGAUUCUCAGGUGUCAUCAGGUCCCUGCAGCCAGCGAAGUUCCCCUGAUGGAGGACUCAAGGGGGCAGCAGAGGGACCCCCCAAGAGGCCUGGAGGCUCCUCACCCCUGAAUGCUGUUCCUUGUGAGGGUCCACCUGGCUCUGAACCUCCUAGGAGACCACCACCUGCCCCCCACGAUGGGGACAGAAAGGAGCUGCCCCGGGAGCAGCCUCUGCCCCCUGGCCCCAUUGGCACAGAACGAUCACAGCGUACAGACCGAGGCACAGAGCCUGGCCCCAUUCGGCCAUCCCAUCGACCUGGUCCCCCAGUCCAGUUUGGCACUAGUGACAAGGUCUGUGUGGGCUGGAUCUGGGUAUCCUGAGUUGGGUGGAGAGA
rnacentral:lncRNA from 1 species